ACGACGGGGACCAGAUACAAGUAGUCUACGGCGAUCUAAGCAGAAACAAGAUGUGGAUGUGAGGAAGUGAACAAGUCGAGUUUUAAUAAUCGAACACGUAAUCAAAGUAGAUAAAUUGCCGAUGACAUCAUUAUUUAUUUAUCGGUGUUGCUUGAGGUUCGUAAGUGAAGGCAUAGCGGGGUCAAUGUAGACGAAGAAAAAAAUUAGAGCUUUAAAAAUGAAGUCCUGAUGAGGAUCUGAAUGGAAAGCGAUAGGAGGGUACAGCUGUUGCAUGUGUUUACGCCAUACGUUACGCAGCUUCCCCCGCCCAUUAACCAACGUAUUCAGGACACAGGCUCUACUGAAGAUGACUGAUUAAAGGAAAAUUAGACGUAGACACACAUGAGCAUGAUGUUAUAAUGGGGUGCGCAUCGUGGUCAGCAACUCUGGUGGAGGCCAAACUUUCUGUAACACUUCCUGCAAAGCGAUACGCCCUCCACCACGGAAGGUUCGCCCCGGCGACACGGAUUCAAGAAAGACAAAUCAGCGUUCGCAUCAAAGCAAGAUACGAUGUGUUUUGACGAAAAUUCCAUGAAGACUAGCCGGUCUUUGACGAUCCAUGAGACUCAGCGCUUCAUCUAACCCCGUCUUUCUCUAAGUUAGCGGGAAAUUGUCCCAUUGAGCAUAUCAAGCGUACAACACAACCUCUUAGCGAUUCUAAAAUAAUACUAUCAACUAAAUCGCCGUUGCGAUCAAAAUUUGAUGGUCGAGCAAACGUCCCAACCUAAACGAAGGGCCGUCGGAUCCUGUUGGCCAACAAUAUAAAAAACCUUGUGGCGGCAGCUUUAUUUUUGACAACACCGACCAUGGCCAUAACGGUGGCCUCAAAGCAGAUAAUAUUUCUAUCUUCCAAAAGCUUAGCUCUACUUACGACGACGCCGAACGCGGUGUGGGCAUAGACUGCGACUACGAAUCCCACACUAAGCAUUCCAGCCGUACAUAUUUUCAUGGGUUUGCCCCUCAGAUCAUAGGUAUCAUAGGCAGUUCAGGCUGAUCGAGUGAAGCGAGAAAAUCCGACGAGACAGAAUCGGGGACUGGGGAAAUUCCGCGCAGCAGAAUGGCCCUAUCCGUAGCUGCUUUUCGUGCUGUUGUUGAUUUGUCAAUAGAAAUUGCCGAGUGUGGACAUUGUGCAUCAUACUGUGAUGAAUGCUGCACACAGCAUAAACAACUAUGUUUUCAAGAUAGAUCAAUUACAACACUGACUCCUGCGGGUCUGCCAAUAGCGCUCUACGGGAUGACUAAGACAGCCUCGUCAAGCCGCAUAGGUUUCGAAAAUCAGCUGUUCCUCCAAUGGAAUGUCGACGUCGUGCAUCCCAUCACGUGUGCGCGAAGUGGUCUAGACUCAAAACCUUUGCCCUGUGCCGGAAAUCAGCCAUCUGAGACAGCGCUUGACGGAAGUGCCAG